UUACGGGAGGCAGCAGUGGGGAAUUUUGGGCAAUGGGCGAAAGCCUGACCCAGCAACGCCGCGUGAAGGAUGAAGUAUUUCGGUAUGUAAACUUCGAAAGAAUGGGAAGAACUCAAUGACGGUACCAUUUAUAAGCUCCGGCUAACUACGUGCCAGCAGCCGCGGUAAUACGUAGGGAGCAAGCGUUGUUCGGAUUUACUGGGCGUAAAGGGCGCGUAGGCGGCAAAUUAAGUCAGCUGUGAAAUCUCCGAGCUUAACUCGGAACGGUCGGCUGAUACUGAUCUGCUAGAGUGCGGAAGGGGCAAUCGGAAUUCUUGGUGUAGCGGUGAAAUGCGUAGAUAUCAAGAGGAACACCUGAGGUGAAGACGGGUUGCUGGGCCGACACUGACGCUGAGUGCGCGAAAGCCAGGGGAGCAAACGGGAUUAGAAACCCCGGUAGUCCC
rnacentral:rRNA from 1 species